AUACAGAGGGUGCGAGCGUUAAUCGGAAUUACUGGGCGUAAAGCGCGCGUAGGCGGCUUAUUAAGUCAGAUGUGAAAUCCCCGGGCUCAACCUGGGAACUGCAUCUGAUACUGGUAAGCUAGAGUUUUAGAGAGGGAAGUAGAAUUUCAGGUGUAGCGGUGAAAUGCAUAGAGAUCUGAAGGAAUACCAGUGGCGAAGGCGACUUCCUGGCCAAAAACUGACGCUGAGGUGCGAAAGCGUGGGUAGCAAACGGAAUUAGAAACCCGAGUAGUCC
rnacentral:rRNA from 1 species